UACGGGGGGAGCAAGCGUUGUUCGGAUUUACUGGGCGUAAAGGGCGCGUAGGCGGCCAACUAAGUCAGACGUGAAAUCCCUAGGCUCAACCUAGGAACUGCGUCUGAUACUGGAUGGCUUGAAUCCGGGAGAGGGAUGCAGAAUUCCAGGUGUAGCGGUGAAAUGCGUAGAUAUCUGGAGGAAUACCGGUGGCGAAGGCGGCAUCCUGGACCGGCAUUGACACUGAGGCGCGAAAGCCAGGGGAGCAAACGGG
rnacentral:rRNA from 1 species